rnacentral:rRNA from 1 species
GACGAACGCUGGCGGCGUGCUUAACACAUGCAAGUCGAACGGAAAGGCCCUGCUUGCAGGGUACUCGAGUGUCGAACGGGUGAGUAACACGUGGGUGAUCUGCCCUGCACUUCGGGAUAAGCCUGGGAAACUGGGUCUAAUACCGGAUAGGAGCCAGUUUUAGUGUGAUGGUUGGGAAGUUUUUUCGGUGGAGGAUGAGCUCGCGGCCUAUCAGCUUGGUGGGGGGGUAAUGGCCUACCAAGGCGGGGAGGGGUAGCCGGCCUGAGAGGGUGGACGGCCACAUUGGGACUGAGAUACGGCCCAGACGCCUACGGGAGGCAGCAGGGGGGAAUAUUGCACAAUGGGCGCAAGUCUGAUGCAGCGACGCCGCGUGGGGGAUGACGGGCUUCGGGUUGUAAACUCCUUUCGCUAGGGACGAAGCUUUUUGUGACGGUACCUAGAUAAGAAGCACCGGCUAACUACGUG